rnacentral:rRNA from 1 species
AUUGAACGCUGGCGGCAGGCCUAACACAUGCAAGUCGAGCGGGGUUUUCGGACCUAGCGGCGGACGGGUGAGUAAUGCGUAGGAAGCUGCCCGAUAGUGGGGGAUACCAGUUGGAAACGACUGUUAAUACCGCAUAAUGUCUACGGAGCAAAGUGUGGGACCUUCGGGCCACAUGCUAUCCGAUGCCCCUACGUGGGAUGAGCUAGUUGGUGAGGUAAUGGCUCACCAAGGCGACGAUCUCUAGCUGGUUUGAGAGGAUGAUCAGCCACACUGGAACUGAGACACGGUCCAGACUCCUACGGGAGGCAGCAGUGGGGAAUAUUGGACAAUGGGCGCAAGCCUGAUCCAGCCAUGCCGCGUGUGUGAAGAAGGCCUUCGGGUUGUAAAGCACUUUCAGCGAGGAGGAAGGGUUAGUCGUUAAUAGCGGCUAAUUUUGACGUUACUCGCAGAAGAAGCACCGGCUAACUCUGUGCCAGCCGCCGCCGUAAUAC